rnacentral:rRNA from 1 species
AGAUUGAACGCUGGCGGCAUGCCUAACACAUGCAAGUCGAACGGGAGUAGCAAUACUCUAGUGGCGGACGGGUGAGGAAUACGUAGGAAUUUGCCCUUAAGUGGGGGAUAACCCGGGGAAACCCGGAUUAAUACCGCAUGACCUCGAAAGAGCAAAGUGGGGGAUCGCAAGACCUCACGCUUUUGGAGAAGCCUACGUCGGAUUAGCUAGUUGGUGAGGUAAAGUCGUCACCACGGACGGACGAGUACUCGU